AUGACUCAUGGAUAUAAGGACUAAGAAUUGUAAAUUCAGUGCAGAAAUCAUGAUUGACAUGGCUGCGAUGCUCCGGCAGAAACGGGGGCAGAUGCCUUCACUGAGGGCUGCUCUCCAGGAUGGGCUGUGACAUUUCCUCCCUGCGUCUCUGCUCUCAUCCAAGGCCUGACCGCCCCAGGAAUUAUUUUAGAGCUGACAGUGUUUAUCUCCUGGUACCUGCUCCGUCUAAAACACAUUUCAGGAACAGGGAACAAAAUCAGAGGUAAAUGUGACUUUAUGUGGCAUUGUUUACAAACUCUUUGACGUCUAUCCGCAGUUGAAACACUGAUUGAGCGAUUACAUGAGACAAGAUAAGGAUUUCGGUAAGUUGUACUCUCUUUUAACGUAGAUUUAGAACUAGUUAAAGUGGAGGAGAUGACCAGUUCACACACUGCUUCUCUUGAACUGAGGAGCUCCAGCGAUCUGUCACUCCACUUUAAACAGCGCCAAAAUGGUAUUUACUGUUUGAAUACUGUAAUAAAAUGGAUGUAACAAAGGUGCAUAUUUGUAAAUGCUCUUCUCCACAGUUUAUUUUUCUAGCUGACUAGCAAGCAUAUGGUCACCAAAUAUGUUUUUCUGAGGUAAAUGUGACGUUACGUGACAUAUUGUUUACAAGCUGUUAUAUUGACGUCUUUCUGCUGUUGAAACACUGAUUGAGUGAUUACAUGAGACAGGAUACGGA